rnacentral:rRNA from 1 species
AUGGGUAUUUUUAAGUUCCCUGCCUCCCUUUGUGAGGAGUUAACCCAGAUUAUCCGGAAUUUUUGGUGGGGAGAUGACGAAGAUCGAAGAAAAACACAUUGGUUAGCAUGGGACAAAUUAACAAGGUCUAAAGGUAAGGGUGGUAUGGGAUUCUGGGAUCUCAGAUUAUUUAACCAAGCCCUCUUAGCCAAACAAGCAUGGAGGUUAUUGGUUUAUCCGGAUUCGUUGUGUGCUAAGCUGAUGAAGGCAAAGUAUUAUUCUCAGGGACAUAUUCUUGAUACAGUGUUUCCUCAGUCUGCAUCACUCACUUGGCAAGGUAUUAUACAUGGU